UUAUUAAAGCUAUGUAAACGCUUUCGUUUUAGGAACGUUGCCGCAGUCCAUGGAAGCGCUUUCAUCGCUGUUUCAACGCAUUUAUUAAAACAAAUCAAAGGAAGGCCUCAGGGGCUUCGUCGCUUAAGAGAGGCUGUGCGCUCUCCCUUAUGCCCUGCUGGCAACCAUAAGCGCUUACGCCGCGCAUAAGAACCAGCCCUCUUAAGAACAAGGCACAAAAGGGAAGAUGCGAGGCUGGUCGCUCUGACGUUCUUUUAUGCUUUCUACUUGCGGUUGCUUUCGCUAAUGCACUUGAAUAACUGACCUGCCAUAACGAUCGCGGCGCACAGUUUUUACAUUCCCUUUUGCAUAUUUAUUUAUUAUUAUUAUCUAUUUGCCUAACAUAAAAGCUGGAGAUAUGUACCCUUCCCUUCUUUCAAUUUGUAAGUUAAAUUUCAAUCUAAAGUGUAUUAUUAAGAGUUAAUCAUUUAUUAGUUUACUAGUGCGAUGCAUGUGCUAUUGCUCAAUAUGAAAUAUAGGAUUUAACAUGAA